GGGCUAGAAUAAGUAGUUUUAAUUCAAGGUGAGAGGGUGGUAACCGUUCCCAGUUCCAUAAAGACUUCACAUUCCUAACUCUAUCUUCAUCUAGUACGCCAGUGCCAAAGUUUAGGAAUGAGAUUCGGGAUGGGGUGCCAUGCUCCAAGACCAAGGGUAGUGUGAACAGUUGUCGUACCAAUCUACUUUGCAGAGAAUGUCAAAGGAAUCUUAAGGUUGUGUUUAGAGCCAGC
rnacentral:lncRNA from 1 species